rnacentral:rRNA from 1 species
UGAGCAAUCUGCCCUUCUCAUCGGAAUAACCAUUGGAAACGAUGGCUAAUGCCGAAUAUGACCUCGGAUCACAUGUUCUGAGGUGGAAAGCUCCGGCGGAGAAGGAUGAGCUCGCGGCCUAUCAGCUUGUUGGUGAGGUAAUGGCUCACCAAGGCAUUGACGGGUAGCCGGCCUGAGAGGGUGACCGGCCACACUGGGACUGAGACCAGGCCCA